CACCGCCCGUCACACCAUGGAAAUCUGCUGCACCAGAAGUAGGUAGUCUAACCGCAAGGAGGGCGCCUACCACGGUGUGGCCGAUGACUGGGGUG
rnacentral:rRNA from 1 species